UGAACGCUGGCGGCGUGCCUAAUACAUGCAAGUCGAGCGAACAGACGAGGAGCUUGCUCCUCUGACGUUAGCGGCGGACGGGUGAGUAACACGUGGAUAACCUACCUAUAAGACUGGGAUAACUUCGGGAAACCGGAGCUAAUACCGGAUAAUAUAUUGAACCGCAUGGUUCAUUAGUGAAAGACGGUUUUGCUGUCACUUAUAGAUGGAUCCGCGCCGCAUUAGCUAGUUGGUAAGGUAACGGCUUACCAAGGCAACGAUGCGUAGCCGACCUGAGAGGGUGAUCGGCCACACUGGAACUGAGACACGGUCCAGACUCCUACGGGAGGCAGCAGUAGGGAAUCUUCCGCAAUGGGCGAAAGCCUGACGGAGCAACGCCGCGUGAGUGAUGAAGGUCUUCGGAUCGUAAAACUCUGUUAUUAGGGAAGAACAAAUGUGUAAGUAACUAUGCACGUCUUGACGGUACCUAAUCAGAAAGCCACGGCUAACUACGUG
rnacentral:rRNA from 1 species